rnacentral:rRNA from 1 species
AGAGUUUGAUCAUGGCUCAGAAUCAACGCUGGCGGCGUGCCUAACACAUGCAAGUCGAACGCGAAAGUGGAGCAAUCCAUGAGUAGAGUGGCAAACGGGUGAGUAACACGUGGGUGACCUGCCUUCGAGUGGGGGAUAACGUCCCGAAAGGGACGCUAAUACCGCAUAACAUGCUGUCUUUUAAGAGAGAGACAUCAAAGCCGGGGACUGCAAAGGCCUGGCGCUUGAAGAGGGGCCCGCGCCUGAUUAGCUAGUUGGUGGGGUAAUUGGCUCACCAAGGCAACGAUCAGUAUCCGGCCUGAGAGGGCCGGAUGGACACACUGGGACUGAGACACGGCCCAGACUCCUACGGGAGGCAGCAGUGGGGAAAUUGUUCGCAAUGGGCGCAAGCCUGACGACGCAACGCCGCGUGGAGGAUGAAAGACCUUCGGGUCAGUAAACUCCUUUCGUAUCGAGACGAAUGGCCUCCGGGCUAACGAUCCUGGAGGAGUGUACGGUACCGAGAGAAGAAGCCCCGGCUAACUCUCGUGCCAGCAGCCGCGGUUAAUACGGGGGGGGCAAGCGUUUGUUUCGGAAUUACUGGGCGUAAAGGGCUCGUGAGGCGGCCAACUAAGUCAUACGUGAAAUCCCUCGGCUUAACCGGGGGAACUGCGUCUGAUACUGGAUUGGCUUGAGUUCGGGAGAGGGAUGCGGAAUUCCAGGUGUAGCGGUUGAAAUGCGUUAGAUAUCUGGAGGAACACUGGUGGCGGAAGGCGGCAUCCUGGAUCGAUACUGACUCUGAUGAGCGAUAGCCAGGGCAGCAAAUCGGACUAGAUACCCCUGUAGUCC